rnacentral:pre_miRNA from 1 species
AAAGUACUCCCUCCGUCCGGAAAUACUUGUCCUAAAAAUGUAUACAAUGGAUGUAUCUUUAACUAAAAUAAGUCUGGAUACAUCCAUUUCUAGGACAAGUAUUUCCGGAUGGAGGGAGUAAUAA